UCUCGGUGAUGAAAGCUUUGUCCAGUUCUGCUACUGACUUUGAGUGAGGAUAAAGUGUGCCUGAGGAGA